GUCGGUCUCACGCGUCAGCACAGCUGAGGAUCUUGGGAGACACAGAAGGACCCUUGCACCGAGGUGGCAUUCAUUUUUUUUUUUUUUUUUAAGAAGAACUUUCCUUCCACCUAACCCAAAGAACGGUGCAUCUCAACUGCUCUGUUUCCUUCUUGAGAUAACUGCCGUGAUUUUUCUUGCCCUGAAAUUUCUGAAGUUCACUUGGAGGAACUCUUUCGGAACGGUGGACUUUGGGGGGAGGGCUUGAAAAGAAAGAGCCCAACCUCCCGCCCCCGGACAAGGACUCUGCACGUGAAGCCGGAAAGGUCUAGACGUCUCCCGGCAAAUCUUGCCGAUGGGCGGAACCAGGCUGGACGCAAACCCCUCUGCACACUCUGAUGGUGCCUGCUCUGCAAUUUCUGUCCGGUCUUAAUAAGGAACAGUUCUUUCUAUCAGUGCGCCUGCCCGGAGGGUAUACGGUUCGACACAGGUUUCAUGCCGCAGGUCUUCUCACUUUUAGAAGGUCCACCUCAAGAUAAAGCACUUGAUUUCACCCUCGGGGUAAGCGUUGACUCCCACACAUUUAGAAUCUUCUUCUUGGCAGAUGGAGUUUCUCCUCUCGGAGGAGAGUAUUUGCAUUUUUUGGAUUAGGGGGAGAUUUUGACAAACCGGAAGUCCUUUGAAUCAUACAUAAUAAAGCAUGUUGGAAUGGUGUC